rnacentral:lncRNA from 1 species
CUUCGCCCUCACUCUGAGUGGAGUCUGGCCCAAGGGCAGUGUCUUCAGCUCUGAGCUCUGUGCUUUUCUUCAUUUGUAUUGUAACAAACCUUUCAAUUGUUGGGUGUUGAACGUUUUCUCAACACCCUGAGUGCCACCUCUUUUGCCGAGGAUGCCUCUGUAGAGGCACCCAGCAGCCCUUUGUGUGAUCCGAGGGUGAAGAUGAACAGCCUGGAGAGCAGCCAAGAGUCCUGCUGGACACAGGAAGGCAGCGAACAGGGAUUUGAAGACCUCAAACAAAAUUCUCUCAGAUUGGACUCUCCUGCCUCCAUCCUGGCCAAACUGCUAGAGAAAUACAUUCAAGAAAAAUGGAGAGAGAAUACAACCUGUGAACCAUCUACAGGAAGGUCUGCGAGGUCCCGAGUUGCAUGGAACAUGCCGAAUCAGCCCGUGCCCCAGCAACAAUCCACUGGACCCACCCCACUCCUCUGUACAGCCACCUGAUUCCGCACUACAAAGAUGCAGAGGACAGUGGACCACCAGAACAUGGUCCUGAGUCCUGAUGCUCCUGGCC